rnacentral:rRNA from 1 species
AUUUGCGUCGAAGGUAUACCGGUAAGGAGUGCUGGAGCGAAUAGAAGUGAGCAUGCAGGCAUGAGUAGCGAUAAUUAAUGUGAGAAUCAUUAACGCCGUAAACCCAAGGUUUCCUACGCGAUGCUCGUCAUCGUAGGGUUAGUCGGGUCCUAAGUCGAGUCCGAAAGGGGUAGACGAUGGCAAAUUGGUUAAUAUUCCAAUACCAACAUUAGUGUGCGAUGGAAGGACGCUUAGGGCUAAGGGGGCUAGCGGAUGGAAGUGCUAGUCUAAGGUCGUAGGAGGUUAUACAGGCAAAUCCGUAUAACAUACUCCGAGAACUGAAAGGCUUUUUGAAGUCUUCGGAUGGAUAGAAGAACCCCUGAUGCCGUCGAGCCAAGAAAAGUUUCUAAGUUUAGCUAAUGUUGCCCGUACCGUAAACCGACACAGGUGGGUGGGAUGAGUAUUCUAAGGCGCGUGGAAGAACUCUCUUUAAGGAACUCUGCAAAAUAGCACCGUAUCUUCGGUAUAAGGUGUGGUUCGCUUCGUAUUAGGAUUUACUCCGAAAGCGAAGAAACUUACAACAAAGAGUCCCUCCCGACUGUUUACCAAAAACACAGCACUCUGCUAACUCGUAAGAGGAUGUAUAGGGUGUGACGCCUGCCCGGUGCUCGAAGGUUAAUUGAUGGGGUUAGCAUUAGCGAAGCUCUUGAUCGAAGCCCGAGUAAACGGCGGCCGUAACUAUAACGGUCCUAAGGUAGCGAAAUUCCUUGUCGGUUAAAUACCGACCUGCAUGAAUGGCGUAACGAGAUGGGAGCUGUCUCAAAGAGGGAUCCAGUGAAAUUGUAGUGGAGGUGAAAAUUCCUCCUACCCGCGGCAAGACGGAAAGACCCCGUGGACCUUUACUAUAACUUGACACUGCUAUUUGGAUAAGAAUGUGCAGGAUAGGUGGGAGGCUUUGAUUAUAUGACGUCAGUUGUAUAGGAGCCAUUGUUGAGAUACCACUCUUUCUUAUUUGGGUAGCUAACUAGCCUAAGUUAUCCUUAGGUAGGACAAUGUCUGGUGGGUAGUUUGACUGGGGCGGUCGCCUCCCAAAUAAUAACGGAGGCUUACAAAGGUUGGCUCAGAACGGUUGGAAAUCGUUCGUAGAGUAUAAAGGUAUAAGCCAGCUUAACUGCAAGACAUACAAGUCAAGCAGAGACGAAAGUCGGUCUUAGUGAUCCGGUGGUUCUGUGUGGAAGGGCCAUCGCUCAAAGGAUAAAAGGUACCCCGGGGAUAACAGGCUGAUCUCCCCCAAGAGCUCACAUCGACGGGGAGGUUUGGCACCUCGAUGUCGGCUCAUCGCAUCCUGGGGCUGGAGCAGGUCCCAAGGGUAUGGCUGUUCGCCAUUUAAAGCGGUACGCGAGCUGGGUUCAGAACGUCGUGAGACAGUUCGGUCCCUAUCUGCCGUGGGCGUAAGAAGAUUGAAGAGAUUUGACCCUAGUACGAGAGGACCGGGUUGAACAAACCACUGGUGUAGCUGUUGUUCUGCCAAGAGCAUCGCAGCGUAGCUAAGUUUGGAAAGGAUAAACGCUGAAAGCAUCUAAGCGUGAAGCCAACUCUAAGAUGAAUCUUCUCUAAGCUCUCUAGAAGACUACUAGUUUGAUAGGCUGGGUGUGUAAUGGAUGAAAGUCCUUUAGCUGACCAGUACUAAUAGAGCGUUUGGCUUAUCUUUAAUAAAGCAU